rnacentral:sRNA from 1 species
GCCAGGUGUGGUGGCGGGCACCUGUAAUCCCAGCUACUUGGGAGGCUGAGGCAGGAGAAUCACUUGAACCCAGGAGGUAGAGAUUGCAGUGAGCCAAGGUCACACUAUUGCACUUCAGCCUGGGCAACAGAGCAAGAUUCUGUCUCAAAAAAAAAAAAAAAAUUUUUUUUAGUGCACACCUGUGGUCCCAGCUACUUGGGAGGCUGAGGCAGGAGGAUUGCUUGAGCCUAGGAAUUGGAGACUGCAGUGAGCUAUGAUUGCACCACUGCACUCCAGCCUGGGUGACCAAGUGAGACCCUGUGUCA